UUGGGACCUUCUGGGGACCUUCUGGGAUCUUCUGGGACCUCUUGGAACCUCUCAGGAACCUUCUGGGGAUCUUCUGGGAUCUUCUGGGCACCUUCUGGGACCUUCUGGGACCUCUUGGGAACCUUCUGGGCACCUUCUGGGACCUUCUGGGGAUCUUCUUGGGACCUUUGGGGACCUUCUGGGACCUUUGGGGAUCUUCUGGGACCUCUUGGAACCUCUCAGGAACCUUCUGGGGAUCUUCUGGGACCUUCUGGGGACCUUCUGGGACCUUUGGGGAUCUUCUGGGAUCUUCUGGAACCUCUUGGGAACCUUCUGGGGAUCUUCUGGGACC
rnacentral:lncRNA from 1 species